AUACGGAGGAUGCGAGCGUUAUCCGGAUUUAUUGGGUUUAAAGGGAGCGUAGGUGGGAUAUUAAGUCAGCUGUGAAAGUUUGGGGCUCAACCUUAAGAUUGCAGUUGAUACUGGUUUCCUUGAGUACGGUACAGGUGGGCGGAAUUCGUGGUGUAGCGGUGAAAUGCUUAGAUAUCACGAAGAACUCCGAUCGCGAAGGCAGCUCACCGGGCCGGAACUGACACUGAUGCUCGAAAGUGCGGGUAUCAAACAGGAUUAGAUACCCUGGUAGUCCGCACAGUAAACGAUGAAUACUCGCUGUUUGCGAUACACUGUAAGCGGCCAAGCGAAAGCGUUAAGUAUUCCACCUGGGGAGUACGCCGGCAACGGUGAAACUCAAAUGAAUUGACGGGG
rnacentral:rRNA from 1 species